GUAUCAGUUUUUUGGUUUUCUGCUGUUUUCAGAAGCAAGCUAUCUCAUUGAAAAUGCAGUUAUUGGCUCUUGCUUCUUCUUUUUCUUUUUCCCUACAUCAAUACUCUCUCCCUGCAAAGAGAACAGAAUCAUGAAACCUCGGAGGUCAAGCAGGCUUUGAAAAUGCUCAUCAUAGUGGGGGGAAAAAAAAGAGUAGAUUGCUGUUCUUUGGAACUUGUUGUAUACAUAUAGAAGGGAACCUCAGCACAAGAGGAGGGGAGUGAUUUUCAAAAGCGUGACAUAAACCAAAAUAAGCAGUCCAGAAACCUGAGAGAGGUCUAUAGAUGUGGCAAACUAUUUAAUUUAAACAGGAAGAUGAUUCAAAAUUUCUCCUUGGCUGGUUUUGCCAUUCUACCAGUUAACUUGGAAUACUGGAUAUAUUGGUAAACUGCAAAAUUCUCUUGGUAAUUAUGUGUUAUUUUGAGCACUGUUCAUAUUGUAUUUUAUGUUUGACCUUAUUUUUGCAAGAAUUCUUACAGGUGUGAUCAUACAGGGAAAGUUACCUACCCGUAGAUAUCUGAUAUUCUCCCAUAUAUGAGCAAAACAGUCAACAAAUUAACAGACAUAAUUUCCAAAUUGCUUUAUAAAAGGGUCUACAUGAGAAUCACAAUUUAAAAAGAAAAAUAAUAAAUUGCUCACUUAUUUUUUCUAUUCAGACUUGAAGUUCAAGUCAGCUCUGAAGUGAACACCUAGAAUAAUUAGCUUAUGCCGUUUCAUUUUAUUGAUAUUUAUUGGCUAACUAAGGGAAGAGAAAAGCUUCAAUGUAUAUAUUAUGCAGUAGAUAGGGGUCACAGGUUUUAUUUCUGCCUUGACAUUUACUCAUUGUAGACAGUGGAUCAGCUUCUUAGACAAACAUUCUCCAGCUUUAAAAGUUCAGUCUGAAAACCUAUGACACAGCUUUUAUAUGUACUGAACACCAACCUUUUCCAUUGAUCCUACAUGAGGGAUGGAGGCAUUUAGCACAUUGCAAGUAAUCAAAAGGUACCAUGCAAAACAGCUCAUACUGUAGCAUUCAAACUGAAAGAAAUUGUAAACAAUUCUGCUUUGCUCUUCAAGGCAUUACCCCUGCUUGUCCUGCAAUUACUGUUCCAUUGCCUGAAUAUCUUCAUUUUGAAAAACGACAUUAGAGAAAUACCUAUACAUGUACAUCACAAAUCAUUUCUCAUUGAUUUUGGUUAAAAGCUAGAAAGUCUGCAUAAACAGUUGUCUUUGAUGCCCUCUAACUAGCUUAAAAGCAGUAAUAACCAACUCAAGCUGCCAGAAAUGACUGUGCAUGUCAACUGCCUGAUGGCCGAUCAUUUCCUAUGCAUAAGCAUAUAUUUUUGUUACCUUGAUUGCUGGAAUGGGCUUCUUCGGAAUGAAAUGCUUUUUCUCGGGAAGCACAGCAGUCAUGUUCUGUGCCUUCAGUUUAAUCUUGUUCUCAGCUAUUAUUUUUUUGCGUUGUUCCAGGUAAGGCCCAAAACUGGGUAGUUUCUGAAACAAAAAUGAUUAUGCUUAGUGAGUGGGGGUAGUAAAAAGGUGAGUCUGAUCCCACAGGUGAAACCCUAAGUCCAUGCUGACCAUGACUUGCUUCUUAUUCAGGAAGUUGAAAUUGAAAACAGCAAGACUGCACCAGAGUGAGAAGUGAAUAAAAAUCAAAUAUGAACACUGGGAUCUGACUUGAAAAUAUAUACUGAAUAUUAAAAUAUUAAUAUCCCACAGCAGAAAAAUAGCUGAAUUGCAGGUCAGCAUCCCACAAUCUAUUAUAUCCCCAUUGCAUACUUGCUUGUAUAUAAAAAUGUAUCAUGUUAAAUAAUUCAAAUUCUAACUUUAUUUCUAUUUUAUUUUAUACUAUGUGGUAAGGUAUCAGAAAAUUAUCAGUUUACUUAGAAGGGUUCCACCAGUAUUUAAGAUUACUUGUACUGAUAUCUGAAUAUAUCAAUACAUAUUUUUUAAAGCUUAUAAACAUAUAUUUUGCAGUCUGAUAAUAGAAGGCUGUCUUGACCUGUCAAAGUAAGGCUAACAAACACCAAAUGAACUGAAACACAUUAUAAUCUCCUAAUUUACCUCCAUGUCCCACUUGCAAUCUUUUCUGCAACGUUUAAUCCUUGAACCCAAUUAAGCAAACUCUAGAGGAAGAUUUCACUGAAUUGCAAAACUCAUGUCUCACCCAAGAACAUGAAAGAGCUGGUUAAGGAUUCAUAAAACACUCCACUUCCUGACAGAAAAAGUCCCUUUGCUUACCUAGCAGAGAUAUGGACAACUGUAGUGUGCCACGAUCACAGAGUUCGGUGAGCGAAAAAUGGUAAAAAAAUGGAUUUUUGCUUGAUGCAAUAGAUCAUGCCCUUCCUCCCCUGAAACUAGUUUCUUAUUCUGCAAAAGUAUUUUAUCCACCUAACUAAACCCUGUUCAGAAGCUACAGCAGUACUGCAGAAACCAGCAGGUAGUAACAGGGGAUACACAGCCUCGGCAGCUGCUAGCAUUAAUUCACGCUAAUAAUACAACCUCAAAGAGCAUAUCGAACAAGAUACAGUACUGCCGCAGUCAUCAAUUUUUUAAGAGGGAAUUUCAAUGUGAAUUUUAAACCCCAAAUUAUUUAAAAAUUUACAAAUUAUUAUUUUUUAAAAUGAAGUAAAUCCAGAAGAGGUUACCCUGCCCUUCUGCUAAUCCUUAGGAGAAAAAUUCCUCGAUGAGCUCCGUCAGCCACAGUACCCAGCCCUGGGACCUCAGGCUUCUUGCUAUGACAAACAAAAGCUUUCUUGGCUGUUCAGUUUUUGGCACUCUGAGCAUACAGCCAGAGGGUGAGGUCCUUGAAAUGCUUCUCUGCUUCCAAGAGUUGGUUUGUGGCCUCAACACAUUUUUAACAGCAAGUCAGCAUGAGCCUUGCAGUCUCCUGGAGCUCCCCGGAGGAGGUGCCCUCCUGCAGGCUGGAACUGAACCAUGAGACAAAGCCUCAGUCUGGGCAAAUGCAAGGCCAGAACUGUGAGGGAUAUUGCAGACCCCAUCUGUCCCAAAGGUAAGGUGUAGCCCAAGUUUCCCCAUUGUCCAUGGGUUCUUAUUGUGUCUGUUCAAUGAGAACUUGGUUCCUGCAUGUCAUGUUCAAGGGCUUCCUUACAGACAUCAAACAAACUUUCCUUUCUGUGCAGUUGCCAUAUGAGAAUUGUUCUUGGAUGUCUUAAAAUAAGGCUUUAUGAAUUACUCCAAACAGAAGUAAGGAAGCGGCCUUACAUACUAAAGUCAAAUAAGACAGCAAAACCAGGAUUAUUUUAUAAGGCAAAAUGAGCAGAAGGAAGAAUUUGUUUAAUUUCAUUCUAAUCAAUAGGCUCUAAAGCACAAACAUGUAAACUCAAUUCUUUACAAGACUUUUAGAAAGCCUAAAACUUUUAGCAAAAAUCAAAACCCCACAAAUUUUGCUAAAAAGUGUUCUGGUAUGUCUACUAGGUCAAAUCAACUAGAAUUACAUUUUUGGCUAUGAAUAAGUAGUAGUUGUGUCACUGAGAAACUAUUUCCUCUCCAUAAUUUAUGUGCUGAUGCCAACAACUUUGACUUGAGAGGGGAGGAGACCCGAUGACAAAGCAUUGUUGGAUUCUUUCCUGUCUGGCCAGGAAUUGGAUUGCUGACUUUGAGAUUUUUUAUCUUUUAGACAUGAUCAAACGAACGUCACUUUUUGGAAAACUGGUGCUGAAAGCAAGUCAUCCUAAUAACUUUGGGUUGUAAGAGUGUGCACUACAUCUUAACUGUCUGCCUGACUGCAUCAUGCGCUUGAUCUCAGUCCUAAAUUCAUGCUGAGUGUCAAAGAUUUGCAAACUGAGAUUAAAGCCGAAACAAGCUGACAAGUUUUAUUCCAUGCAUUUAAUGCAAAGGUGAUUCAGAGUUGAUAUUAAUGACAGUCACCUGUGCCAAGGCUUCAAAUGUCAAGUUCUCCCACAGAAAAAAAAGCAAAUGCCAACUAAAUAAGCCAUCAAAAAAGCAAUGAGGAAGGAAGCCCAGAAGACUGGCUUUGGCCAUCUUUGUGAGCCUGAUGCAGCAUCUGUGCUAGGACUAUUUUUGGAGCUGUCACGGAUAAGACUACAACCACAGGAAAGAAUGAGUAAAAUUGGUGAAGCUAUGGAAAACUGUAUCACCCAGUGACUGGAAGCCACAACUGUGGCUAGCAUUUCUAAGUGGAAAUCUCACUGCUACUACAGUCAGCGUAGUACUACAGGUCACAUUCUAGACACUGGUAAGCAACUGCUGUGUUAGCAAAAGGGAAAAAGCUAGUGCUACUGAAAAAAACAUUGGAAAAUAUCUACCUCUGUGUCAAAGAUGAUAAAUUUAGGGUCUAUAUACGAAAAAAAAUAGAUUCUGGAACAGUGAAAAACAAA